rnacentral:rRNA from 1 species
AAGAGACAGCAGCCGCCGCGGUAAUACAGAGGGUGCAAGCGUUAAUCGGAAUUACUGGGCGUAAAGGGCGCGUAGGUGGUUAUGUAAGUGAGUGGUGAAAUCCCCGGGCUUAACCUGGGAAUUGCCACUUAAACUGCAUAGCUUGAGUGCAAUAGAGGGUAGUGGAAUUUCCGGUGUAGCGGUGAAAUGCGUAGAUAUCGGAAGGAACACCAGUGGCGAAGGCGGCUACCUGGAUUGACACUGACACUGAGGCGCGAGAGCGUGGGGAGCAAACAGGAUUAGAUACCCGCGUAGUCCCUGUCUCUUAUAC